AAAAUAGAAAUGCCGCAGACAGCAGGCGCGUUCAAUCGCUCAAUUUCCUGCCGAGGUGUUAAGGUUUAAAAAGAUUAUCCGAAAGAAUUACUCUUUUUUAUGUCCUUUGCGCCGCGCGGCGUAAAGGCUUUUUUAAUUCU
rnacentral:sRNA from 1 species